AAGAGCUCCUGUCAAUUACACUCCUUCCUUUUAUCUGUACCCAUUCUUGCAACAUUGUUUCCCUCUUUGAUCCCAACUCCUUCCAUGGGCAGCAGUCAUGCUUCCCUUCCUUGGCAGUACAGGAGACACUGAACGUUCCCCACAGAGAUGCAUAUCUAUGAGGAGAUGCUGAUUGGCCAGGGCUGUGUUUGACUUUUGGUGGCUCUGCC